UACGUAGGGGGCGAGCGUUGUCCGGAAUCAUUGGGCGUAAAGCGCGUGUAGGCGGCCCGGUAAGUCCGCUGUGAAAGUCCAGGGCUCAACCCUGGGCUGCCGGUGGAUACUGUCGGGCUCGAGUCCGGAAGAGGCGAGUGGAAUUCCUAGUGUAGCGGUGAAAUGCGCAGAUAUUAGGAGGAACACCGGUGGCGAAGGCGCCACUCUGGGCCGAAACUGACGCUGAGGAGCGAAAGCGUGGGUAGCAAACAGG
rnacentral:rRNA from 1 species